rnacentral:SRP_RNA from 1 species
UGUUGGUUCUCCCGCAACGCUACUCUGUUUACCAGGUCAGGUCCGGAAGGAAGCAGCCAGAGCAGACGACGUGUGUGCCGGGAUGUAGCUG